rnacentral:rRNA from 1 species
UGGGGAAUUUUGGACAAUGGGCGAAAGCCUGAUCCAGCAAUGCCGCGUGUGUGAAGAAGGCCUUCGGGUUGUAAAGCACUUUUGUCCGGAAAGAAAUCCUUGGCUCUAAUACAGUCGGGGGAUGACGGUACCGGAAGAAUAAGCACCGGCUAACUACGUGCCAGCAGCCGCGGUAAUACGUAGGGUGCAAGCGUUAAUCGGAAUUACUGGGCGUAAAGCCUGCGCAGGCGGUUUGCUAAGACCGAUGUGAAAUCCCCGGGCUCAACCUGGGAACUGCAUUGGUGACUGGCAGGCUAGAGUAUGGCAGAGGGGGGUAGAAUUCCACGUGUAGCAGUGAAAUGCGUAGAGAUGUGGAGGAAUACCGAUGGCGAAGGCAGCCCCCUGGGCCAAAUACUGACGCUCAUGCACGAAAGCGUGGGGAGCAAAACAGGAUUAGAUACCCUGGUAGUCCACGCCCUAAANGNUNNCAACUAGUUGGUUGGGAUUCAUUUCCUUAGUAAACCGUAGCUAACGCGUGAAGUUGACCGCCUGGGGAGUAC